rnacentral:rRNA from 1 species
UGGCUGUCGUCAGCUCGUGUCGUGAGAUGUUGGUUAAAGUCCCGCAACGAGCGCAACCUUUGCCUUUAUUUCCCAGCAUUAAGUUGGGCACUUUAAGGUGACUGCCGAUGACAAAUCGGAGGAAGGUGGGGAUGACGUCAAAUCAUCAUGCCCCUUAUGACCUGGGCUACACACGUGCUACAAUGGGCGGUACAAAGGGUUGCAAACCCGCGAGGGGGAGCCAAUCCCAAAAAGCCGCUCUCAGUUCGGAUUGCAGGCUGCAACUCGCCUGCAUGAAGCCGGAAUCGCUAGUAAUCGCGA